GGGGCGGUAGCUCAGCGGUUAGAGCACGAACGUCUCUUCGACCCUCGUCGGGGUCCACCUUCUCCUGUCACAUGAGCUCGGGCCUCGAAUGCCCGCGGGGACUACAUUUUUAAUGACGAGGUCGCCGGUUCGAGUCCGGCCCGCUCCA
rnacentral:tRNA from 1 species